CAGCUAACCAGUUGCCCCUGAAAUUCAACAGAUUUACACACACACUCGCAACUUUUUAGCUAUGCUACCCACACAUUUACAAAUUUAUUUUUCCGACUGUCAAAACAAAAUUCUGAGUGAGAGAACCGGACCUAAUAAAAAUUUUUACUGUAAUAAGAAUUUUAUGCGUUAGAGCGAGUAAGUGGAAAUGAAGCAAAAUUUGACAGCUUUGAUCACAGAGGCUGUGACUUUAGCAAAAGUUUGACAUCUUUGAUCACAGUAGGCUGUAAAUAAAAGCGUUAAUUUUGCAAAAACAUUUGAAGAUUGCCGAAACAUUGCGAUUUAAUCAUAUAAUUAAGUCAGGCUCCACACCAGCAUAUCCACCACCUUCAACGCCGCCACCAAUAAACAGCGCUGCAUACAUUAUUCGGUAAGUUUUCAUGCGACGAAUAAACGUUGCUUCUGCUGCAACUGCCUACAUUAAUCAUGUUCCUGGUGCUUCCCGAUUUGCACAUUUCAAAAGAAAAGCUGUUUUUGCAAUUAAUAAACCUUAUGGCGUACAGAAACAGCUUCCUCUAAAAACCUGCGAAGCGUGAAGUACCUGGAACAGGCUUAUUUAGUGCGUUCCAGAACGUCUACGAUUUGCAGGUUUUGCAGGAUUUAGUCCAAAGUCGUUCCCGUACGCCACGUUCACAUAAGGCUUAUUAAAGGCAAAAACAGCUGUUCCGGAAAACCUGCAAAUCCUGCAAAUCGUGAAGUACGGGAACAGGCUAAUUAUGUGCAAAUGUAAACAACAAAAGAAAGUGCAGUGUUUACAUAUGUAAAAAGUGUAGUAGGACUGGUGAAUGCGGUCAUUCUGGAAGCCAUAGUUUACAAAGUGUAGUGCACAGUUCAACAACAGUGAUUGGGUUUGCUACUUCAUAGCAGCAGUGGAAAUGGAAACAUUGCUCUGCUAUUGCUACUUCUCUACUUGAAUAGAUAAGAAGCACGGCCAGAAUCGGAAAACACACGAGGACCUUCCUUGUUUUACUUGGUUCUAUGUUUCGUUGAGGCACAGAUCAGCAAUGGAUUUGUCACCACUGUUCCUGGGAGAUACCGAAGCCCUCUCUCCACCACGCACGAGCAACACAGGUGUAGCCCUACAUAGAAAGCGCUUUCAUGUGGCACUGCCUUACGAGGAGCGCUUUGUCUCCCAGCCAACAGUAACCACCAAAAGGGUGUAGCCACUACACCAACAACAAGCAACACAGGUCAACAAUUUACCUUGUCUUACCUGCUGGAGAGGCAAAAAGAAAUGUUUGAUGGCGUCAUGGCCGCCAUUGGAAGAGUUGAGUCAAAGGUGGAAGGAAUAGCAAAUGCUCUGGCCGAAAAGGUUAUAUCAAUAUGCCCGAACGCGCGGAAGUUCAAGCUCAAGGGCAGCUACUGCGAGAGUGCAAAGUGGUGACCUCGAAAGUUCACCAAAGUAUUUCCCGAAUCACUGGAGAUGCUAUUAGUAAAGAGCAUACUUUGCUUCAAAGUAUGCUUCCACUAUCAUCCCAGGAAAAGUUAAAUACUUUGGAGAAUCUUUUGGGAAACAAACCACACUCCGAUGCGAUGCUGAACAUAAUUUUAAAAUUGAAGGGUGCUAAGGGUUGUGUGAAACACGUGUUGAGAAGCAUUUUUGCCGACACUCUACUCAUUUCAUACAAUUAUGAGGGCAAAGCCAACAAAGCUCCACUUCUGGGGCUAAAAACAAUAGAAUUAGUUUUCGAUGCGUUUGUGAGUAUGCCCAAAAUUGACCUCAUUGCGGAAAUCAGAAAGCACGUGUUCCUAAGCCACAAUAGGUACAAACAAAUUGUAAUAAAAAAAAAAAU
rnacentral:misc_RNA from 1 species